UCCAUUUACAAAUAUGCCCCAAAUACCUUAUACAAACCCAAAUCAAUACCCCACAGCCCAACAGUUAAACCUAAACCAAAUCAUUACAUGGCCCAAACCAAUCACAUAACCUAGACCUAAAAUUAAAACCAAGUCACAAGCCCAAUAACUUAGCCCAAUACCCUAAACGGCUCAGAAAUUGAGCCCAAUGUCAGCAAACCCUAGCAGCCUUGGCUUGCGCCGCAGCAGCCCCAGCAGCCUCCAGGCGCCGUACACUCCUCCUAUGCCAGCACACGCCCUCGUACACACGCCACGCACCUGUACCUGCAAAGAAAUGGACAAGACAACAACAACAAUGGCCAAUACGAAAAAAGCACAAAAUUGUAUUUCUUUUUAUUUCUUUUUUGGACAUUCGGCUAUAAAACCGAUGAUUUUACAUUGUAAGGGGGUUCCUUUUCGAAGACAUACAGAAAACAUAUGCAAUAGAAAAGAAAAAAGGCAAUAGACGAAGAGAAGGUGGUUUUCCCUUCUUCUUUUAAUCCUCUGUUCUUUUACCUGUUUCAGUUGAAUUGCAUGUCAUUUACAUCAAAAAAAAAAAAGAAAAAGGUAACGCCUUACCGUGAAAGCACGCCGCGGGAUCCCUUUCUCUUCGCCAGAAUCGAACUGUAGAGGGGGUCUUAAGGCAGACAAAGAGACUCCAAGGCCCGAACGGUUUAGUCUCCGUUCAUGGUGGUAGAUCGGAGCUUGGAGGGACAUUUGGGGGCUGAUUGAUCAACAAACGAGGAAAAGGGC
rnacentral:lncRNA from 1 species